AGGUAUGCUUAGGGAGGAGCUUGCGUCACAUUAGUUAGUUGGNGGGGUAAAGGNCUACCAAGACUAUGAUGUGUAGCCGGGCUGAGAGGUUGAACGGCCACAUUGGGACUGAGACACGGCCCAAACUCCUACGGGAGGCAGCAGUAGGGAAUUUUCGGCAAUGGAGGAAACUCUGACCGAGCAACGCCGCGUGAACGAUGAAGUAUUUCGGUACGUAAAGUUCUUUUAUUAGGGAAGAAUAAAUGAUGGAAAAAUCAUUCUGACGGUACCUAAUGAAUAAGCCCCGGCUAACUAUGUGCCAGCAGCCGCGGUAAUACAUAGGGGGCAAGCGUUAUCCGGAAUUAUUGGGCGUAAAGGGUGCGUAGGCUGUUAAAUAAGUUUAUGGUCUAAGUGCAAUGCUCAACAUUGUGAUGCUAUAAAAACUGUUUAGCUAGAGUAAGAUAGAGGCAAGUGGAAUUCCAUGUGUAGUGGUAAAAUGCGUAAAUAUAUGGAGGAACACCAGUAGCGAAGGCGGCUUGCUGGGUCUUUACUGACGCUGAGGCACGAAAGCGUGGGGAGCAAACAGGAUUAGAUACCCUGGUAGUCCACGCCGUAAACGAUGAGUACUAAACGUUGGGUAAAACCAGUGUUGAAGUUAACACAUUAAGUACUCCGCCUGAGUAGUACGUACGCAAGUAUGAAACUUAAAGGAAUUGACGGGACUCCGCACAAGCGGUGGAUCAUGUUGUUUAAUUCGAAGGUACCCGAAAAACCUCACCAGGUCUUGACAUGCUUCUGCAAAGCUGUAGAAACACAGUGGAGGUUAUCAGUUGCACAGGUGGUGCAUGGUUGUCGUCAGCUCGUGUCGUGAGAUGUUGGGUUAAGUCCCGCAACGAGCGCAACCCUUAUUGUUAGUUGCCAACACGUAANGGNNGGGACUUUAGC
rnacentral:rRNA from 1 species